CUACCUGCAUUGGUUGAAAGCAUAGCUGCUGGCCUUGAUGAUGUGGUAGAUGUUGAGGACCAGGAGCAUGAAGCAGAAGAUGAUGCCCCUGCAACUGUGCCAAAUGCUGCAGCCCCACUUGCACUAACCAAAGAUAUUGGUCGACAACUUUCCAAGAAGAAAUUGAACAAACAGGUGAUCAUCCAGUUUCCUUGGGACCCCGGUGGUUCUGAACUUCUCCAUCGGCUUGAGGGCAAGCCAAACCUUAAGAAGGGGGGAAUGUCAGGGACCAACCAUCACACACAAGGAGAAACCCAAAAUAGCUUGCGAGUCGAUGGUGAGCUUGGAUAGCAUGGAGGCAGUUGCUGGAUCUUGGGCAUACUAACAACCAACUCCUGAAUCCAUUGAGGAGGUACCACAAAGAUUGUAGCGCACAGAAUAUUGUAUGGGUUUGCGCGGAGAGCAUGUUAGUAGCACAAUUUGCUGAACCCAGCUUAUUGACAAUGUGGAAAUAAGGCCAAUCAACAUGUAAAUAGUUUUUGUUGCCAGGGAGUGUGGAGACGUUGCUCUAUCAACGGAAUGAGGCUCUGCUGGUCAGUGUAAAUGAUAAACUCAGCUAAUUGGAGAUACUAGCACCAAUGUUGGACUACCAUUAACACUGCAAUGUAUUCCUUCUCAUAUGUACUCAGAUCACAAGAAUGAGGUCCCAAGGCUUGGCUGAGAGGUAGGCCAAUUGAUGGCCGUCUUGAGCUAAACACUUGCAUCCGUUUAAAUGCCAAAUAACCAACCAAAAUUUGGCACACCUUGUGGUUCAAAAAUCAAACUAGACACUAUGUCUACUUUAAUUCAGUAGAACAGUUUAAACUAAGCACAUGCCUAAUUUAAAAGGUGUAUGAAGAUAUUUCAAAACCUACGUAUACUAUAGCAAACAAAGGUAGUAUGAAAGUAUAAUAAAGAUUUAUUCAAGUAGAGA
rnacentral:lncRNA from 1 species